rnacentral:rRNA from 1 species
GACGAACGCUGGCGGCAGGCCUAACACAUGCAAGUCGAGCGAGCGGCGGACGGGUGAGUAAUGUAUGGGGACUGCCCGAUAGAGGGGGAUAACUACUGGAAACGGUGGCUAAUACCGCAUACUAUCGGAUAACCCAUAUGGGAUUAGCUAGUAGGUGGGGUAAAGGCUCACCUAGGCGACGAUCUCUAGCUGGUCUGAGAGGAUGAUGAUCCAGACUGGUACUGAGACACGGCCCAGACUCCGACGGGUGCAGCAGGGGGGAGUAUUGCACAAGGGGGGCAAGCCUGCUGCAGCCAUGCCGCGUGUAUGAAGAAGGCCUUAGGGUUGUAAAGUACUUUCAUCGGGAAGGCGUUACCCGCAGAAGAAGCACCGGCUAACUCCGUGCCAGCAGCCGCGGUAAUUC